UAUUAUUAAUGAUUUAAAUUUUAUGACUUGAGUAGUAGUAGUUAUGUUCUUGAAACUUAAAGAAUUUGGCGGUAUUUUAGUCUUUUUAGAGGAAUCUGUCCCUUAAUUCGAUAAUCCGCGUUAUAUCUUACUUAAGAUUUUAAUUUGUAUACCGCUGUUGUUGAGAAUCUUUUUAGAGUUAAUUUCUUAAAUAUUCUUGGAUGUUUUGUCAGGUCAAGGUGCAGUUUAUAUUUAAGUGGUGAUGGAUUACAUUAUUUUGAAAUAUACGGAUUAUUAAUUUAGAUAAUUAAUUAUGAAGGUGGAUUUAAAAGUAAUUUUAUUGAGAAUGUUAAUGUGAUUUUGGCUCUAGAAUAUGUACACAUCGCCCGUCAUUCUCAUUAUUUGUUAAGGUGAG
rnacentral:rRNA from 1 species